GUUAAACGCUGGCGGCAUGCCUUACACAUGCAAGUCGAACGGCAGCACGGGGGCAACCCUGGUGGCGAGUGGCGGACGGGUGAGUAACACAUCGGAACGUGCCCUGGAGUGGGGGAUAACGCAGCGAAAGCUACGCUAAUACCGCAUAUUCUGUGAGCAGGAAAGCAGGGGAUCGCAAGACCUUGCGCUUUGGGAGCGGCCGAUGUCGGAUUAGCUAGUUGGUGGGGUAAAGGCUUACCAAGGCGACGAUCCGUAGCGGGUCUGAGAGGAUGAUCCGCCACACUGGGACUGAGACACGGCCCAGACUCCUACGGGAGGCAGCAGUGGGAAUUUUGGACAAUGGGCGGAAGCCUGAUCCAGCCAUGCCGCGUGAGUGAAGAA
rnacentral:rRNA from 1 species